rnacentral:rRNA from 1 species
GGCAGACGGGUGAGUAACAUGUACGUAUCUGCCCUUUGGCCUGGAAUAACACGAGGAAACUUGUGCUAAUACCGGAUAAGUCUUUACGGAGAAAGCUUUAUGCACCAUUGGAUGAGCCUGCACUUGAUUAGUUUGUUGGUGGGGUAAUGGCCUACCAAGACUGUGAUCAAUAGCUGAUUUGAGAGGAUGAUCAGCCACAUUGGGACUGAGACACGGCCCAAACUCCUACGGGAGGCAGCAGUGGGGAAUCUUGCACAAUGGAGGAAACUCUGAUGCAGCGAUGCCGCGUGAGUGAAGAAGGCCUUUGGGUUGUAAAGCUCUUUCGUCGGGGAAGAAAAUGACUGUACCCGAAUAGGAAGGUCCGGCUAACUUCGUGCCAGCAGCCGCGGUAAUACGAAGGGACCUAGCGUAGUUCGGAAUUACUGGGCUUAAAGAGUUCGUAGGUGGUUGAAAAAGUUAGUGGUGAAAUCCCAGAGCUUAACUCUGGGACUGCCAUUAAAACUUUUCAGCUAGAGUAUGAUAGAGGAAAGCAGAAUUUCUAGUGUAGAGGUGAAAUUCGUAGAUAUUAGAAAGAAUACCAAUUGCGAAGGCAGCUUUCUGGAUCAUUACUGACACUGAGGAACGAAAGCAUGGGUAGCGAAGAGGACUAGAUACCCUCGUAUUCCAUGCCGUAAACAAUGUGUGUUAGACG